UAUCAAGAAUUUCGCCUAAUUGUACUGUUAAAAACUGGCAUGGCUGACAGAAUAAUCAAAUAAUAACACAUCGCACACCAUAUGUACCUCAUGUUAACGUACAAGAACAGCUUUUAAUAGUAAAAAUUGAUGGAAUUUUUAGCA
rfam:Gossypium hirsutum cultivar TM-1 chromosome 10, whole genome shotgun sequence